UACAGCCUGCAGGCUGGAGUGACCCCUGGGCUGGCCUGUGUUUUGUCUACCCUUGCCACAGACAGCAGACAUCCCCAAGCAGCAUUCAGCCAAGGCAAGUGUUUGGGGCAGGAUUUAUGAGGCUAUCCUGUGCAAGACAGACUGAAAUGGAAGACUCUCUGGGAAGCAGAACAAAACAGGCCGCCAGUGAAUUUACAAGCCUGAGUGAUCCGAGGAGGCUGGCAGUUGUAAGGACUGAAGAGAGACAUGAAGCCUGUUUGUAUGUGUAAAAGGGCCUGGCAGCCAAACAGACUCAGGAGACAGGAAUGAAAACCGGAUCCCAGACCCAGGCCUGGGUAGGAGGGAGAAUAACAACAAUCUUGUGACUGGCGCUUAGACAGCACCCGCUCCUCUUGCAGACACACUCAGGUAAAGACAUCCCUCAGGAGAGGCAGAAACAGGUCUGAAAAUGACUCCAGCGUUCCUGCAAAUUCAAAGGAGAUGUUCCUUUUUACAGUGGAGAGAGAUGCAAUCAUCCCAAGGGGCAGGAGAGACACA
rnacentral:lncRNA from 1 species